GGGAAAGAGCUGGGAGAUUGGGCAAAAUGGGUGAAGGGGAGUGGGAGAUACAGGCUUCUAGUUGUGGAAUGAGUAACUCAUGGGGAUAAAGGACAACAGCAUAAAGAAUACAGUCAGUGACAUUGUAGUGAUAGUGAGGUAUCAGGACAGGUGGUAGCUACUCUUGUUGGUGAA